GCUCUGUGAUCCCAGACGAAUGUCCUGUGU
rnacentral:piRNA from 1 species